rnacentral:lncRNA from 1 species
UUUCACUUCAGUGGAGCGCUUCGCCCCUGGUCCCGAGUUUUUGUUUUUCUGAAAGAAGACGUCUCCGCGUCAGCGCAACAGUCCUUCAUGGGGUCAGAGCCUACCAAAUGCACCGCAGGUUGAAAACACUAUGCAUUACAGAGCAAGCUAUAAGGGAAUGAGAAUUUCGACUGCAGCAUUCUGCAUAGUCUAUAGCAGGUAAGACAGGCCAAAGACCUAAGCAGGUAUGACG